rfam:Homo sapiens chromosome 17, GRCh38 reference primary assembly.
GCCAGGCAUGGUGGCGCAUGCCUGUAAUCCCAGCUACUCAGGAGGCUGAGGCAGGAGAAUCGCUUGAAUGCAGGAGGCAGAGGUUGCAGUGAGCUGAGAUCAUGCCACUGCACUUCAGCCUGCGCAACAGAGCGAGACUCCGUCUCAA